ACAAAGGCUCUUUCAGAGCCACCCACCUUCUCUCGAAGGAGCUGU
rfam:Sarcophilus harrisii ctg7180002247216, whole genome shotgun sequence.